rnacentral:rRNA from 1 species
CCUACGGGAGGCAGCAGUGGGGAAUAUUGGACAAUGGGCGCAAGCCUGAUCCAGCCAUACCGCGUGUGUGAAGAAGGCCUUUUGGUUGUAAAGCACUUUAAGCGAGGAGGAGGCUCUUGAGGUUAAUACCCUUGAUGAGUGGACGUUACUCGCAGAAUAAGCACCGGCUAACUCUGUGCCAGCAGCCGCGGUAAUACAGAGGGUGCGAGCGUUAAUCGGAAUUACUGGGCGUAAAGCGCGCGUAGGCGGCUUGUUAAGUCGGAUGUGAAAUCCCCGGGCUCAACCUGGGCACUGCAUUCGAUACUGGCAAGCUAGAGUAUGGGAGAGGAAGGUAGAAUUCCAGGUGUAGCGGUGAAAUGCGUAGAGAUCUGGAGGAAUACCGAUGGCGAAGGCAGCCUUCUGGCCUAAUACUGACGCUGAGGUGCGAAAGCAUGGGGAGCAAACAGGAUUAGAUACCCUGGUAGUCCAUGCCGUAAACGAUGUCAACUAGCCGUUGGGGACCUUGAGUCUUUAGUGGCGCAGCUAACGCGAUAAGUUGACCGCCUGGGGAGUACGGUCGCAAGACUAAAACGUCAAAGGAAUUGACGG